GAUGAACGCUGGCGGCGUGCCUAAUACAUGCAAGUCGAGCGAACGGACGAGAAGCUUGCUUCUCUGAUGUUAGCGGCGGACGGGUGAGUAACACGUGGAUAACCUACCUAUAAGACUGGGAUAACUUCGGGAAACCGGAGCUAAUACCGGAUAAUAUUUUGAACCGCAUGGUUCAAAAGUGAAAGACGGUCUUGCUGUCACUUAUAGAUGGAUCCGCGCUGCAUUAGCUAGUUGGUAAGGUAACGGCUUACCAAGGCAACGAUGCAUAGCCGACCUGAGAGGGUGAUCGGCCACACUGGAACUGAGACACGGUCCAGACUCCUACGGGAGGCAGCAGUAGGGAAUCUUCCGCAAUGGGCGAAAGCCUGACGGAGCAACGCCGCGUGAGUGAUGAAGGUCUUCGGAUCGUAAAACUCUGUUAUUAGGGAAGAACAUAUGUGUAAGUAACUGUGCACAUCUUGACGGUACCUAAUCAGAAAGCCACGGCUAACUACGUGCCAGCAGCCGCGGUAAUACGUAGGUGGCAAGCGUUAUCCGGAAUUAUUGGGCGUAAAGCGCGCGUAGGCGGUUUUUUAAGUCUGAUGUGAAAGCCCACGGCUCAACCGUGGAGGGUCAUUGGAAACUGGAAAACUUGAGUGCAGAAGAGGAAAGUGGAAUUCCAUGUGUAGCGGUGAAAUGCGCAGAGAUAUGGAGGAACACCAGUGGCGAAGGCGACUUUCUGGUCUGUAACUGACGCUGAUGUGCGAAAGCGUGGGGAUCAAACAGGAUUAGAUACCCUGGUAGUCCACGCCGUAAACGAUGAGUGCUAAGUGUUAGGGGGUUUCCGCCCCUUAGUGCUGCAGCUAACGCAUUAAGCACUCCGCCUGGGGAGUACGACCGCAAGGUUGAAACUCAAAGGAAUUGACGGGGACCCGCACAAGCGGUGGAGCAUGUGGUUUAAUUCGAAGCAACGCGAAGAACCUUACCAAAUCUUGACAUCCUCUGACAACUCUAGAGAUAGAGCCUUCCCCUUCGGGGGACAAAGUGACAGGUGGUGCAUGGUUGUCGUCAGCUCGUGUCGUGAGAUGUUGGGUUAAGUCCCGCAACGAGCGCAACCCUUAAGCUUAGUUGCCAUCAUUAAGUUGGGCACUCUAAGUUGACUGCCGGUGACAAACCGGAGGAAGGUGGGGAUGACGUCAAGUCAUCAUGCCCCUUAUGAUUUGGGCUACACACGUGCUACAAUGGACAAUACAAAGGGCAGCGAAACCGCGAGGUCAAGCAAAUCCCAUAAAGUUGUUCUCAGUUCGGAUUGUAGUCUGCAACUCGACUACAUGAAGCUGGAAUCGCUAGUAAUCGUAGAUCAGCAUGCUACGGUGAAUACGUUCCCGGGUCU
rnacentral:rRNA from 1 species